rfam:Oryctes borbonicus contig1541, whole genome shotgun sequence.
UUGCAGAUAUGGAGAUAUGGUACCUGGAACAAUCGCAGGCAAAAUUGUUGGAGGUGUCUGCUCCUUGAGUGGUGUACUGGUGAUUGCUCUUCCUGUACCCGUCAUCGUCUCUAAC